GGCCGCCUGGCGCAAUGGUUAGCGCGUUUGACUUCGACGACGUCGAGAGAGUUACGACUCUUCAAACUGGUUUACGAUUGGCAUCAAAAGGUUGCAGGUUCGAGUCCUGCGGUGGUCG
rnacentral:tRNA from 1 species